rnacentral:misc_RNA from 1 species
CCGAGUUUACAACUCCCAAACCCUGUGAACAUACCUAUAUGUUGCCUCGGCGGAUCAGCCGCGCCCCGUAAAACGGGACGGCCCGCCGCAGGAUCCACAAACUCUGUUUUUAUUGUAACUUCUGAGUAACAAAACAAAUAAAUCA